CGGUAGCUAAGUGCGGAAAAGAUAAGUGCUGAAAGCAUCUAAGCACGAAACUUGCCCCGAGAUGAGUUCUCCCUGACUCCUUGAGAGUCCUGAAGGGACGUUGAAGACUACGACGUUGAUAGGCCGGAUGUGUAAGCGCAGCGAUGCGUUGAGCUAACCGGUACUAAUGACCCGUGAGGCUUAACCUUACAACGCCAGAGGCGUUU
rnacentral:rRNA from 1 species